rnacentral:rRNA from 1 species
GACGAACGCUGGCGGCGUGCUUAACACAUGCAAGUCGAACGAUGAAGCUGGAGCUUGCUCCGGUGGAUUAGUGGCGAACGGGUGAGUAACACGUGAGUAACCUGCCCUUGACUCUGGGAUAACUCCGAGAAAUCGGUGCUAAUACCGGAUAUGACCUUGGAAGGCAUCUUCUGAGGUGGAAAGUUUUUCGGUCAAGGAUGGACUCGCGGCCUAUCAGCUUGUUGGUGAGGUAAUGGCUCACCAAGGCAACGACGGGUAGCCGGCCUGAGAGGGUGACCGGCCACACUGGGACUGAGACACGGCCCAGACUCCUACGGGAGGCAGCAGUGGGGAAUAUUACACAAUGGGCGAAAGCCUGA